rnacentral:misc_RNA from 1 species
GAUGAAGAACGCAGCGAAAUGCGAUAAGUAAUGUGAAUUGCAGAAUUCAGUGAAUCAUCGAAUCUUUGAACGCACAUUGCGCCCGCCAGUAUUCUGGCGGGCAUGCCUGUCCGAGCGUCAUUUCAACCCUCGAACCCCUCCGGGGGGUCGGCGUUGGGGAUCGGCCCUGCCUCUUGGCGGUGGCCGUCUCCGAAAUACAGUGGCGGUCUCGCCGCAGCCUCUCCUGCGCAGUAGUUUGCACACUCGCAUCGGGAGCGCGGCGCGUCCACAGCCGUUAAACACCCACCUUCUGAAAUGUUGACCUCGGAUCAGGUAGGAAUACCCGCUGAACUUAAGCAUAUCAAUAAGCGGAGGA